UACGGGCGAUAUGUACACACCUUAUUACCUUAUUCAGCCCAUUAUUCUUAAAUAAGCUUACUAAUAAAUCCACCUUCAGUAAAAUUUUAAUUUUAAACAUCCGUUUUCUUAAAAAAAUUGUAGCUCAUCUCUACCUUUAUAUAAACUGCACCUUGACCUGAAGUAAAAAAAAAAUUAUCUUUAAAGAAAACAUCCUUAUGGAGUAAUCUGACAACGGAGGUAUACAAGCUAUACAAAUAAAGGUAAGGUAUAACGAGGGUUAUCGAUUAUAGGACAAGCUCCUCUAUUUGGAUAAGGUGCCGCCAAAAUCUUUGGGUUUGAAGAAUAACUUUUACUACCCCAUUUAAAUAUAGUAAAGAAUAACAGGGUAUCUAAUCCUGGUUUUUAAUCUUUAGUUUUUAAUCCUUUUAAAUAAAUUAAAGAUUAUUUAUUUCUUUAUAUAAAUUUCACCUAAAAAAAAGAAAUAAUUUAACUUUAUUUUAUUUACCAUUAAUUAAAUUAAUUAAUAAUUCUAUUUAGAUUCUUCGUCUAACC
rnacentral:rRNA from 1 species